AUAAAGCCAAAAUAGGGAGCAAUAAUUCUGUUGACAAGCAUCCCAUAUACAACCACACACUUACCAUCAUUAUAUAGUCAAAUCUUUUUGUUUGAAUAUAUUUAGCAAGAGCAAGAAGAUAGUUUCUUCAUCUCACUAACUUCAAAAUCAGGACCAGAAAUAACAUCAAUUUUCAAUCCUUUAAGCAAUCCAUUACUAGUCAAAUCUUUUUGUUUGAAUAUAUUUAGCAAGAGCAAGAAGAUAGUUUCUUCAUCUCACUAACUUCAAAAUCAGGACCAGAAAUAACAUCAAUUUUCAAUCCUUUAAGCAAUCCAUUAC
rnacentral:misc_RNA from 1 species